CUGGAUGUCAGCGCCAUCUUUGUUUUACCGCGCCGCUCCCUACAAAAAGGGAGGAGAAAUUAUAUUAUUUCAGGCAUUUAUGAACACCUCCUAGCCACAAAAAAUAUGUUAAGAAUCAUACUAUCAUGACACCUUACAGAUCAGGGACCUGAAGCUCAGAAAGACUAGCUCACUGCUUCAUGAGCACAUGCUACGGAGAGCAUCCUCUGACUCUCAUGCUCAUAACUAUACUGGCUGAAUCUCCCACCUUUCUGAAAGAUACAAGGGAUGGCAUCACUUAAGGUGAGAGGCAUUAAUGCUCCAUUUAAGAGCCAUUGCUUUGGCUUAAAGCACCACAGUUGGUGAGGAAUUAGCAGCUCUUCUUUCUCGCUACUCAACCUUUUUUUUUUUUUGACCCUGAAAGAUACAAGGGAUGGCAUUACCUAGCCCUUUGGGUAUCAUACCGAUCCAAUGGAAUAUCAAACUCUUUAAUUUUAAUGUGAAAACCUUGGAUUUUCUUGGACUUUACAGAGCAUAGGGGUCAUGUGGUUAUUUGGCUUAAAUGGUGACGUAAGUGUGAUUCUGGGUUAUGUAACUGAGUAGGCAGCUGUCUCAUCUAAUUUCAGAGAGCUGAAAAGACUCCAUGAGUACACCCCCACUCUUCUCCAUGCAUGAAGCUCUCCUAGCAGCUACUAUUUUUAAUAGCGCUCAUUAAUUAGCUUAUAUGUCAGGAACUGUGCUAAGUACUUUCCUUUUACACUCACUUAAGGUGAGAGGCAUUAAUACUCCACUUAAGAGCCAUUGCUUUGACUUAAAGCACCACAGUUGGUGAGGAAUUAGCAACUCUUCUUUCUCGCUACCCAACCUAUCUUUUUGACCCUUGUGUUUUACUGCUCGUCCUAAACCACGGACCAGACAAUGUUCUAUACUGCACAACUGCGUGCAAGAGCUUCAUCCAUGUAUCCCAGGAGAGGAUUAAGCCUCUGCAAAAUAAGAAUAAAGUGGUCUAUGAAUAGACUACUUUUAGUAGGGUGCGUUGGGGGUGAGGUUCGAUUUAGGAUUUUCAGAGGAAGCCUAGGGUGGGAAUGGUAUGGGAUGAGGGUAGGAAAAGGGAUAAUCUUUGUUUUAAUUCCUGAAGAAAAUACUGUCAUUGUAUACUGGGGGGGAACAUAUAGCAGGAAUUUAUUGUCUCAUAGCAUGGGGGCUAGAACUUCAAGAUCAAAUUCUCAACCAUUGAUUGUAUCUAAGUGUUAAGAGGGAAUACUUAUUCCAGUUUGCUUCUCGCCCCCUGUGUCUGAUAGCCCUGGGCAUUCUCUGGCACUUAGGCAGUGAUCUCUGUCUCUUAACAUUUUAUGCCUCUAUGUGUGGCUGUGUUUAAAUUCCUCCCUUUUACAAAGACCUUAGCGGUAAUGGAUUGGUGACAUAUACUUGUAUGAUCACACCACUCUUAGCAGUGGACCUGGGUGCUGUUACUGCUUCUUCUAAGUCUACCCAGAGUGGAGGUGACCCAGUCCCAGGAGAAAGGGGCAGCUGAUGAACUCUAAGGAACAGGAGCAGAUUCAGACCAGUGGAAGGCAGCCAUGGAACUGGAGGUUGGUCUCUGGCUCUCCAUAUUUGGAAGCAAAACAAGUCACUGCCAAUCACACAACCCUGACGGUCUGGUCACUCCGAAGGACAAAGCUAUAACUGGUGAACUCAGCAUGCACUGUCUGCAAUGCAGAAGAGAGCUCAAGAUACACUGUCUGCAAUGCAGAACUCAAGAUACACUGUCUGCAAUGCAGAACUCAAGACACACUGUCUGCAAUGCAGAACUCAAGAUACACUGUCUGCAAUGCAGAACUCAAGGUACACUGUCUGCAAUGCAGAACUCAAGAUACACUGUCUGCAAUGCAGAACUCAAGAUACACUGUCUGCACUGCAGUAGAGAACUCAGGAUGCAUUGUCUCAGUGCAGAAGAGAAGACAUUUCUAGUCUAGAACACUUUCUUCUGCCUUUUAAAAGCCCUCCUGAGUCUUUUAUAAGAUCCCUUCCCUACCUUAGGGAUAGUAUGUCACCCCUCCAACAAUUGUUUUCACAUUUUAUUUUAUAUAAUUCAUUGUUGGAAAAUUGAAAAAUAGGCUAAUACUAAUAGAUUAGUAUUCAUGGAGGAACUUUUUUUUUAUUACUGAAUACAUUUUUCUGCUCAAACCCAUCACUCUUACUGAUGUUGGAGUUACUUUGUAACUAUAGUUAGCAGUAAACUAAAGAAAACUUUAAAAAA